rnacentral:sRNA from 1 species
CUAAACUAUUUUUAAUCAUUCACACAUAUCGUCACAUUCUCCGGGGUGCUCCUUAGCUUUCGCAAAGCUUUAGUGGGUCGGCUGAAUGGGAUAUGUGGACGCCUAAC